rnacentral:piRNA from 1 species
UNGGUCUGCAGCUUGUUUUAGUUGACAGAU